rnacentral:tRNA from 1 species
AGGAUAAUAGUUUAAAUAAAAUAUUUAAGUUGCAUUUAAAAGAAAUUGAUUACAAUUUAUCUU